rnacentral:rRNA from 1 species
CGUACACGGUGGAUGCCCUGGCAGUCAGAGGCGAUGAAGGGCGUGCUAAUCUGCGAUAAGCGCCGGUAAGGUGAUAUGAACCGUUAUAACCGGCGAUACCCGAAUGGGGAAACCCAGUGUGAUUCGUCACACUAUCAUUAACUGAAUCCAUAGGUUAAUGAGGCGAACCGGGGGAACUGAAACAUCUAAGUACCCCGAGGAAAAGAAAUCAACCGAGAUUCCCCCAGUAGCGGCGAGCGAACGGGGAGGAGCCCAGAGCCUGAAUCAGCAUGUGUGUUAGUGGAAGCGUCUGGAAAGGCGCGCGAUACAGGGUGACAGCCCCGUACACAAAAGCGCAUGUGCUGUGAGCUCGAUGAGUAGGGCGGGACACGUGGUAUCCUGUCUGAAUAUGGGGGGACCAUCCUCCAAGGCUAAAUACUCCUGACUGACCGAUAGUGAACCAGUACCGUGAGGGAAAGGCGAAAAGAACCCCGGCGAGGGGAGUGAAAAAGAACCUGAAACCGUGUACGUACAAGCAGUGGGAGCACAGGUUUACCUGUGUGACUGCGUACCUUUUGUAUAAUGGGUCAGCGACUUAUAUUCUGUAGCAAGGUUAACCGUAUAGGGGAGCCGGAGGGAAACCGAGUCUUAACCGGGCGUUAAGUUGCAGGGUAUAGACCCGAAACCCGGUGAUCUAGCCAUGGGCAGGUUGAAGGUUGGGUAACACUAACUGGAGGACCGAACCGACUAAUGUUGAAAAAUUAGCGGAUGACCUGUGGCUGGGGGUGAAAGGCCAAUCAAACCGGGAGAUAGCUGGUUCUCCCCGAAAGCUAUUUAGGUAGCGCCUCGUGAAUUCAUCUCCGGGGGUAGAGCACUGUUUCGGCUAGGGGGCCAUCCCGGCUUACCAACCCGAUGCAAACUGCGAAUACCGGAGAAUGUUAUCACGGGAGACACACGGCGGGUGCUAACGUCCGUCGUGAAGAGGGAAACAACCCAGACCGCCAGCUAAGGUCCCAAAGUCAUGGUUAAGUGGGAAACGAUGUGGGAAGGCCCAGACAGCCAGGAUGUUGGCUUAGAAGCAGCCAUCAUUUAAAGAAAGCGUAAUAGCUCACUGGUCGAGUCGGCCUGCGCGGAAGAUGUAACGGGGCUAAACCAUGCACCGAAGCUGCGGCAGCGAACGUAUCACUUAAAGCGAUUCAGCGGGUUACGAUUGACGGAGCGAAGCGACGUCAAAGCGUAUACAAAGUCGAGUCGGUUUAAGGAUACGUUCGUUGGGUAGGGGAGCGUUCUGUAAGCCUGUGAAGGUGUGUCGUGAGGCAUGCUGGAGGUAUCAGAAGUGCGAAUGCUGACAUAAGUAACGAUAAAGCGGGUGAAAAGCCCGCUCGCCGGAAGACCAAGGGUUCCUGUCCAACGUUAAUCGGGGCAGGGUGAGUCGACCCCUAAGGCGAGGCCGAAAGGCGUAGUCGAUGGGAAACGGGUUAAUAUUCCCGUACUUGGUGUUACUGCGAAGGGGGGACGGAGAAGGCUAUGUUGGCCGGGCGACGGUUGUCCCGGUUUAAGCGUGUAGGUGUGUGUUCCAGGUAAAUCCGGUUCACUUUAACACUGAGGCGUGAUGACGAGGCACUACGGUGCUGAAGCAACAAAUGCCCUGCUUCCAGGAAAAGCCUCUAAGCAUCAGGUAACAUCAAAUCGUACCCCAAACCGACACAGGUGGUCAGGUAGAGAAUACCAAGGCGCUUGAGAGAACUCGGGUGAAGGAACUAGGCAAAAUGGUGCCGUAACUUCGGGAGAAGGCACGCUGACACGUAGGUGAAGUGAUUUACUCAUGGAGCUGAAGUCAGUCGAAGAUACCAGCUGGCUGCAACUGUUUAUUAAAAACACAGCACUGUGCAAACACGAAAGUGGACGUAUACGGUGUGACGCCUGCCCGGUGCCGGAAGGUUAAUUGAUGGGGUCAGCGCAAGCGAAGCUCCUGAUCGAAGCCCCGGUAAACGGCGGCCGUAACUAUAACGGUCCUAAGGUAGCGAAAUUCCUUGUCGGGUAAGUUCCGACCUGCACGAAUGGCGUAAUGAUGGCCAGGCUGUCUCCACCCGAGACUCAGUGAAAUUGAACUCGCUGUGAAGAUGCAGUGUACCCGCGGCAAGACGGAAAGACCCCGUGAACCUUUACUAUAGCUUGACACUGAACAUUGAGCCUUGAUGUGUAGGAUAGGUGGGAGGCUUUGAAGCGUGGACGCCAGUCUGCGUGGAGCCGACCUUGAAAUACCACCCUUUAAUGUUU